rnacentral:misc_RNA from 1 species
GUGAGUCAUCGAAUCUUUGAACGCACAUUGCGCCCCCUGGUAUUCCGGGGGGCAUGCCUGUUCGAGCGUCAUUACAACCCUCAAGCUCUGCUUGGUAUUGGGCUCUGCCGGUCCCGGCAGGCCUUAAAAUCAGUGGCGGUGCCAUUCGGCUUCAAGCGUAGUAAUUCUUCUCGCUUUGGAGGCCCGGGUGUGUGCUUGCCAGCAACCCCCAAUUUUUUCAGGUUGACCUCGGAUCAGGUAGGGAUACCCGCUGAACUUAAGCAUAUCAAUAAGCGGAGGA